rnacentral:rRNA from 1 species
UAAUACCGGCGGCUCGAGUGGUGGCCACUUUAUUGGGCUUAAAGCGUUCGUAGCUGGGUCGUAAGUCUCUUGGGAAAUCCGGCAGCUUAACUGUCGGGCGUCUAAGGGAUACUGGCGAUCUUGGAACCGGGAGAGGUGAGGGGUACUUCGGGGGUAGGAGUGAAAUCCUGUAAUCCUCGAGGGACCACCUGUGGCGAAGGCGCCUCACCAGAACGGCUUCGACAGUGAGGGACGAAAGCUGGGGGAGCAAACCGGAUUAGAUACCCGGGUAGUCCCAGCCGUAAACGAUGUGCGUUAGGUGUAUCGACGACCACGAGUCGUCGAGGUGCCGAAGGGAAACCGUGAAACGUACCGCCUGGGAAGUACGGUCGCAAGGCUGAAACUUAAAGGAAUUGGCGGGGGAGCACCACAACAGGUGGAGCCUGCGGUUUUAAAUUGGACUCAACGCCGGGAAGCUCACCGGAUAAGACAGCUGAAUGAUUGCCGGGCUGAAGACUCUGCAUGACUAGCUGAGUAGAGGUGCAUGG